UUACAAAAAGGGCAAAGGAUAGAGCCGCUGCUCCCCAGACGACUCAAAAUGACUUUCAUGUGGAACACAGGAGGAGUGAGAAGGGCCUCCCAUUUAUUUACCAUCUACUAAGACGUUGUGUCCCUGUCACGUACCAGGAGUGCCUCUACUCUGGACAUCCAGGGACUUCGGAGAGCUGGAAGCAUAAGGACUGUGCAAUGACAGAAUCUGUGUUUUCUACCACACCCUGCCUGUGAAUAGUCCUAAUAUUUAAAAAGUGAGUAAACGGCCCGGCACGGUGGCUCACGCCUGUAAUCCCAGCACUUUGGGAGGCCGAGGCAGGUGGAUCACGAGGUCAGGAGAUCGAGACCAUCCUGGCCAACAUGGUGAAACCCCGUCUCUA
rnacentral:lncRNA from 1 species